GAGACUCUUCUCCAGAGUGAACAAACAAUCCAGUUCCCUCAGCCACUCCUUAUAAGAAUUGUGUUCCAGAACCCUCACAGCUCUGUUGCCCCUCUUCUGAACAUGCUUCAGGGCCUCAGCGUCCUUCCUGUAGUGAGGAACCCAAAACUCAACACAGCACUCGAGAACAUGAUAUCAGAAACAUCAAAUGAAAGUCCUCCCAGCUUGAGUGAAGAAACAAACAAGCAAACAAAGAAAAACAUAAAAUAACUAAAGUAUCAAGAAGCAUUAAGACUGGCUGGCUUAAUAGUGAUGAACUUCUUGGCCUCCUCCUAGAGAGAUUUCAGUCCAGCUGCCCAACAGAUUCUGCAAGGAAAAGAUGUAAGAGAUGGAAAACAAAAGAAAACCCAUAUCAUCAGAAGAACAGAGAUGUUGCUGGACUUCUAAAGCACGCUGCUAGAACCCAGAGAGACAGAGGCACAGAGGAGGCAGAUAAUCAUCAUAUCCACAGUCCUGAAGUGAGAGGGCUUUUAUCACCACUUUCUGCAUAAAACAAUGAUGAGAGAAAGCUGAAAUGCUCCUACACCCAGGACAAAAAUGUACACUGUCUGGAUUUUCACAUAAUCUGACUUGCAAAUUGCCCAGAAAAAAAAUACAAGCUGGAUAUUCAAUUCCUAAGUUAAAUCCAACAAAAUGUGCAUCUGGGAUUGGUUCGUUUUUCUCAUUUGCAUUCAGUUCUACUCCCAUAAUGAAGUCGAAUAGAUAAAGCAAUAAUGCAAGGAACAAAAAUUGUUUUCUGCAGCAAUUCUGCAGAGUAUUUUCUUUUCUGUUCCCUCCUGGAAUAACAUAACACAUGUGACAUAUGAAGAAUCCUUGCAGAGGCACUUUGGUCUGAAUAAAUUUGGCUUUUGUAAGAAGGGUAACAUCAACACCAAUGAAAAGUAGCAGGAUCUACUAAAACACAGAGUAACUCUGCCACCUCAAUGGAAAAAGACUGUACCCCAAAAAAACAAUGUUCACAAUUACAAAGUAAAAAUUUUGUCUUUUAGAAAAUUACACACUAUUUUCUGAUUGUUGUAAAAGACAGGAUGGCACAAGUAAGCAAAGAGCCAGACUGAAUUCUUUAUACCCCUACCUACAUUGGCAAAUAAUUCCUGGUUCGUGGACUGCAUGUCAGCCGUUCAUUAUUCAGAA